GACGUAGGGCGCGAGCGUUUGUCCGGAUUUAUUGGGCGUAAAAGCGCACGUAGGCGGCCUUUCAAGUCGGAUGUGAAAGCCCUGGGCUCAACUCAGGAAGUGCAUCCGAAACUGAUUGGCUUGAAUGCCGGAGGGGCCCAGAGAAUUCCCGGUGUAGAGGUGAAAUUCGUAGAUAUCGGGAGAAUACCAGUGGCGAAGGCGCUGGGCUGGACGGUCAUUUGACGCUGAGGUGCGAAAGCGUGGGGAGCAAACAGG
rnacentral:rRNA from 1 species